rnacentral:tRNA from 1 species
GCAGCGGUGGUUCAGUGGUAGAAUUCUCACCUUCCAUGCGGGAGACCUGGUUUUGAUUCCCAGCCAGUGCG